rnacentral:rRNA from 1 species
CUACGGGACGCUCCAGUGGGGAAUAUUGCACAAUGGGCGAAAGCCUGAUGCAGCAACGCCGCGUGAGGGACGACGGCCUUCGGGUUGUAAACCUCUUUUAGCAGGGAAGAAGCGAAAGUGACGGUACCUGCAGAAAAAGCACCGGCUAACUACGUGCCAGCAGCCGCGGUAAUACGUAGGGUGCAAGCGUUGUCCGGAAUUAUUGGGCGUAAAGAGCUCGUAGGCGGUUUGUCGCGUCUGCCGUGAAAAUCCGAGGCUCAACCUCGGACCUGCAGUGGGUACGGGCAAACUAGAGUGCGGUAGGGGAGAUUGGAAUUCCUGGUGUAGCGGUGGAAUGCGCAGAUAUCAGGAGGAACACCAAUGGCGAAGGCAGAUCUCUGGGCCGUAACUGACGCUGAGGAGCGAAAGCGUGGGGAGCGAACAGGAUUAGAUACCCCUGUAGUC